GGAAACAUAGCUUAGUUGGUAAAGCAUUCGACUGAUAAUCGAAAGACCACUGGUUCGAGUCCAGUUGUUUCCA
rnacentral:tRNA from 2 species